CUCUUAUCCAGAGUGGCGGAGGGACUGGCCCGAUGAAGCCCGGCAACCACCGGAAUGCCCGGAGAGGUGCCAAUUCCUGCAGGCUGCGUGAGCGGCCUGAGAGAUGAGAG
rfam:Kyrpidia tusciae DSM 2912, complete genome.